rnacentral:piRNA from 1 species
UGGUAUUAUUAGAUGUCCUUAGGAAGGCUU